CCUAGCUCCUUCAUGUAUUCAUCAAAGCCUUUGCUGUCCACCAGGCGCCAUCUUCCUUCCAGCUGCUGAACUGUGGCCAUGGGUACGCGACGGCCUCUCGGGCGCCUCCUGCAAGCAGGGACUCGCCCGGCGCGCCCCACGCCUCAUGGACGCCGGCGCCUGCACGUUUCGGCGCCUCUGCGGGCCCAGGAAGCCAGAGGGGUCACCUGGAGGCCUGGCCCCGCCUCUCCUGCACCCCUCCGUUUGACAACAUAUCCACCGCCGUUUUUCCUUUCAAAAUACCCGGACCAAUCGAUUAGCCGUCGCCGGACUCGGACUGCAGGAAGUGAUUGAUCGGCUGUUUGGUUUAUUGAUUCAUUAACUACGGUGCCUCCCUGACCUUCUGCUCCUCGCCAGCGCACAAGCUCACAAUCCACACCCUCCUGAGAGAACCUGCUCUCGCCAUCCGCAGGUCUCCCUGGCCCAAUAGUGGGGAUAUACCUGAGUUGAGCUAGAGGAUUUUAUCCCUGUUGGGAUGGGGGACGUCUCGGGAAGUGUGGUUUCUAAACUAAAAGACUGCAGGAAGUGUCAA
rnacentral:antisense_RNA from 1 species